rnacentral:tRNA from 1 species
GGAGUUGUGGCUCAGUGGUAGAGCACUUACCUAGCAUGUGUGAGGCACUGGGUUUGAUUCGCAGCACCA